GGCCCGGUGGCGGAAUGUCUACGCGGGGGCGCCGCAAGCGCUUCACAUCCUGGUUCAAAUCCAGGCUGGGCCUCCA
rnacentral:tRNA from 1 species